UAGACACUUGAUACUCAUGCUCGACAUCUUUGAGUGCAACUAAUGAACUUUGUGUCCAGCAAUCAUAGACAAUAGACCGGAUGGAAAGGACUUUGCUGGGGAGGAUAUAAUUCAAGUCGGGUGUGUGCGUUUCCAUUUGACAC